CAGUAGCCACGGUAAUACGGAGGGUGCAAGCGUUAAUCGGAAUUACUGGGCGUAAAGCGUGCGUAGGCGGUUCGUUAAGUCUGUUGUGAAAGCCCCGGGCUCAACCUGGGAAUGGCAAUGGAUACUGGCGAGCUAGAGUGUGUCAGGGGAUGGUGGAAUUCCCGGUGUAGCGGUGAAAUGCGUAGAGAUCGGGAGGAACAUCAGUGGCGAAGGCGGCCAUCUGGGACAACACUGACGCUGAGGCACGAAAGCGUGGGGAGCAAACAGGACUAGAUACCCCCGUAGUCCCUGUCUCUUAUAC
rnacentral:rRNA from 1 species